rnacentral:lncRNA from 1 species
AUGAUAUUACUGCUCUUUCUGAUGAUCUCUAAGUUCAAAGUACUGCUGGACGGUAUUCAGUCUGGCUUGCUGCUCUCCUGUGUGAGUACUGUGUUACAGCAUUUGUAUACACUUUUAAUUAUCAUUUAUACUACCCAGGUAAUUGUGGGAGAGAAAAUUCCAGAAUCUGUGAGUUCACAGAUUAUUGCCUCUUUCCUAGGUCCAAAUAAGAGCCCAUCAUGUGUUGACCCACCUGCAGGAAGGAAUGGAUUUAAACAAAUGUCUCAAUUCAAAAAGGGGAGGGAGAGUUUGGGGAAGGUACCUACGGUUCUGACUGCAGUGCUGCUGGAGAACAAGGACUAUGUCUUCUCCAUCAAGUCUUUCCCGUGACCCUUGUCCUGCUCAUUACUGAUGAGGAAGAGAAAGUCACAAACACCAGGGAUCAGAGGCUCUCUCAAGGCAAAGAUCUCCCAGCUGAUCAAGUGAUCCUGUGAUGCCCUAAAAGCUGACAGAAGUAUUUAGAAUGAGGAGCUGGGGGCCAGUGCUGUGGUACAGCAGGUAAAGCCACUGGCAGUGCUGGCAUUCAAUAUGGGCAGUGGUUCAAGUCCCUGUUGCUCCACUUCCAAUCAGCUCCCUGCUAAUGUUCCUGGGAACGCAGUAGAAGAUGGCCCAACUGCUAUCUGUGACCCCGAAGAAGCUCCUGGCUCCUGGCUUUGACCUGGCUGAGCCCUGGCCAUUGCAGUCAUUUGGGAAAUGAACCAGAGGAUGGAAGAUUCUUUCUCCCUCUCUCUUUUUCUCUUUCUCAGUCUGCCUUUCAAAUAAAUAAAUAAAUCUUAAAAAAUUUAUAGAACGA